rnacentral:rRNA from 1 species
AACGAACGCUGGCGGCGUGCUUAACACAUGCAAGUCGAACGCGAAAGGGACUUCGGUCCUGAGUAAAGUGGCGCACGGGUGAGUAACGCGUAGAUAACCUGUCUUCAUGUCUGGAAUAAUACGCCGAAAGGGGUACUAAUACCGGAUAUUCUUGCUUUUCAUAAGUUAUGCAAGCAAAGGUGGCCUCUGCAUAUGCUACUGCAUGAAGAGGGGUCUGCGUACCAUUAGCUAGUAGGUGGGGUAAUGGCCUACCUAGGCGACGAUGGUUAGCGGGUCUGAGGGGAUGAUCCGCCACACUGGCACUGGAACACGGGCCAGACUCCUACGGGAGGCAGCAGUGAGGAAUAUUGCGCAAUGGGGGAAACCCUGACGCAGCGACGCCGCGUGAGUGAGGAAAGGCCUUCGGGUCGUAAAGCUCUGUCAAGAGGAAAGAAGUGUACAAUGGCUAAUACCUGUUGUAUUUGACGGUACCUCUAAAGGAGGCACCGGCUAACUCCGUGCCAGCAGCAGC